UACGUAGGGUGCGAGCGUUGUCCGGAAUUAUUGGGCGUAAAGAGCUCGUAGGCGGUGUGUCGCGUCGGCCGUGAAAACCUGGGGCUCAACUCUGGGCGUGCGGUCGAUACGGGCAUCACUUGAGUUCGGCAGGGGAGACUGGAAUUCCUGGUGUAGCGGUGAAAUGCGCAGAUAUCAGGAGGAACACCGGUGGCGAAGGCGGGUCUCUGGGCCGAGACUGACGCUGAGGAGCGAAAGCAUGGGUAGCGAACAGG
rnacentral:rRNA from 1 species